ensembl:lncRNA
UGUUCCUCUAUUCCUCGGCUCGCCUACAGCUGGAGGCGGGCUGGGGGUGGAGGAGCUGCGGGAAGCAGUAGGGGGGACGGGCAGCUGAAGCUGGGGCAGGGGAACUUUUCUCUGGAGUGGUAGGAAGAGAGGUGAAUGGGUCUUAUCUUCCCAUUUCUUGCGGGAAAACCUAAAGAACACUUCUUCCUGUGGAAAACAGACAUUACUCGCCAGAGCCACCCACUUAAGGAAGCCAGACUUCAGAGUUUUGUUUUUGUUUUUCUCAUGCCCAGGAGGUGUCUGGAGAACCUAUGACAAAAAAGACUCCUGAAGCCUGAUACCUCAACAUCUCCACCUGCCGGUGCAGCUGAUCUGACCUGAUGGCUUAUUAUUUCUUACUGAGAAUAGCUAAGGCCUUUUGGCUCUUGACUGUUUUGAAUGCCUUGGAAAAUUCAGAGUUUGCAAAGUUUGAAUGCCAGAAAGAAGUAUCUGCUUGCAGAAAUGACCAGGUUGAGAUAAUCUGCAACAGCACCAUGGACUUUGAUGGUAUAGACUUGUAUUUUCGUAAAGACAAGAAGGACAAAGACAAACUCCUCUUCAGCAUGACCACAGUAGGAGAGUCUCCCCUUCAGCAUGGGAUGCAUCUCAAAUUUAAGAACCAAGAAGUCACGUUGGUGAUUCAGAACAUCCAAUUUUCCCAUCAUGGAAUCUACCGGUGGCAUCUUUCAGGGCACGGGUCCUCAAAUAAGUUCACUACACUAACUGUUUCAGAACCCCCUAUGAUCUCCAAGGAAAAUGGCUUACUGAUCUGCCGAGCAACCAGGGUUAAGGCAGGGAGAAGAAUCAUCUGGUCCAAUGACCUGCCAAGAGUGAAGACAGAGUUCACAUCCAAUCAGGAUGCCACAGACCUAUUCAAUCUCAGCAGCUCUCAAGUUUGGAAUGAUAGUUUCUACAGUAAUCCACCAUGCUGUAAAGUCGUGGAUGAGAAGGGCUCCCAAGAACUUUGUUCACAAACUUGCUAUACCAGUGCCAUCAUGGAAAAGUCCUCAGGUACUCCAGCGACAAAUCAAAACAAUACACAGUGGCCUAUAAUCAUGGCAAUUGUUCUGAUUUUGGCUAUUCUGAUUGCUGUCUUCCCAUAUCUAAAAAAGAGACCAGUGUUGAGUAGUCGUUCAUGCAUGACUGUCCUCUAAUCAUAUUGUUUUCCAUCAUCUAUGAUAUGUCCAACUUUAUUUUUGUUUUGGCGAUGCAAUUGGAAUUAAGUGACUUGCCCAGGGUCACACAGCUAGUAAGCAUCAAGCAGCUGGUCUGAGGCCAGAUUUGAACUCAGGUCCUCCUCACUCCAGGUCCAGUGCUCUAUACUGUGCUACUUAGCCGCCCUGAUACUUCGGACUUUUCAAUUAAUCAUUCUGUCUUAUGCUUGCUCUUCAGACUUUUUAACUAAUCAUUCUUUUUUUUUUCUUUUUUUUGGUUUAGGCAACGGGGUUAAGUGACCUGCCUAGGGUCACACAGCUAGUGAGUGUUAUGUGUUGGAGGUCAGAUUUGAACUCAGGUCCUCCUGAAUCCAGCGCCAGUGCUCUAUGCACUGCGCCACCUAGCUGCCCCCUUAACUAAUCAUUCGGUCUUAUGCUUCCUGUCCUCUGUUCUCUUGUACUGCCCAAAACUAUAUGAAUUCUAUUUUGGUGUUUAAUUAGAUAUUUUUGUGUUCUUUUUCAAAAAAUUUUAGUUACGUGUUCAGUUUGUUGAUCUGAUGUUUCCCUCUUUUACUGAUGUAAUUUGUAAUUAUGUUCAUAUAGUUCCUGGGUUUGUCUUGGCAGGUAGACUCCAAAAUAUAUUAUAAUGUCUACAAUUAUUUUCAAUGGAAUUUCUCUUUCUAUCUCUUCCUGCUGGGUUUUGUUAGUAAUAUAUGGAAAUGCUAAUGAUUUAUGUGGGUUUAUUUUAUGUCCUGUAACUUUGCUAAAGUUAAUUGUUUCAACUAGUCUUUUUAGUUGAUUCUUUAGAGUUCUCUAAAUAUACCAGCAUAUUAUCUGCAAAGAGUAAUAGUUUUGUUUCCUCAUUGCCUAUUCUUAUUUCUUCAAUUUUUACUGCUAUAGCCAGCAUUUCUAGUACAAUAUUGAAUGAUAGUGGCAAUAAUGGACUUUCUUAUUUCACCCUUGAUCUAAGGAUUCUAGUUUAUCCCCAUUACAAAUAAUGCUUGCUCUUGGUUUUAGAUAGAUACUACUUAUCAUUUUAAGAAAAGCUCCAUUUAGAUAUUUUACAUGAUUUCACAUGUAUAACCUAAAUCAGAUUGCUUACUGUCUCAAGGAGAGGGCAGGGAAGGAAGGGAAGAAUAGAAUUUGGAACACAAGACUUAAAAAAAUGAAUGUUAAAAUUACUUUUAUAUGUAAUAGGAGAAAAAUUAAAUGUUCUUAUUAAAAAAUAAAAUGAGCAUAAAAAGAAAAGCUCA